CCAAGCAGAUCCACGCGGCAAACUUGUAGGGUUUGAAGGAUUUGCUAUUUAUCUCAGAGCGCCAGCCUGAUACACCUGAGGAGAGAGUAACCCAACUGUAAUGAUAGGAAAAUUUGGCAGAGAUCUGUGCAUGUUUUCAGCAUUUAAAACUCACGGUAGGAACGUGCACAUUGAUAUAUUUUUAUAUGAGAAAAUAAUAAAAACAAACAAGUCUCCAUCUCCUAUUUGAGUUAGGUGCUGUCAGGAAACAAUUGACUAUGAUUCCGGUGUGUUUUCUGCGCGUUUUAAUGCAAGAAUUAUAGUAGUGGAACGCUACUGUUUAUAUUUUUCAGUUUAUUUCUUGUUACCCAUCGCACUAAUUUUAUUUUGAAAUAAACGCUGUGUAUCUCCUUGGUGUUUGCGGAUUAGUUUGAGUAAUUCUACUCUUGCAGUAAGUAAAACUGCUUAGAUUAUGUGUUGCUCGCGAUGCACGCUAUGUUCGAACUCAUGAAUUAAAAGCCGGAGUUAUGAAAAUACAAUUUUUAUAUUGCUGUGUACAGUUUUCGCUCACAUUACUUUCUAUUUACAGAUAAACUGUGUGUUUAUUGUUUUUUUUAAUGUCAUACGUGCUUCAUUUCAUGAGGAUCUGGAGAUUCAUUUAAACUAUGUGUCUAUGUCUGUAUGUGGAAUUAAAUACUAUUUUCUUUCCCUUUCGACUCGAAAGGCUUUCCAGGCGUUUUAAAGGGGUGAUGUGACUAGAAAUCAGUCUUUGAUUUAUGCCCAUCAGCCUGUUUCUGCACUGCAUACAUUUCCAAUCUCAUGCCCCAUAAAAUAAUAACAAAGGGUCCGCAUUAAUCCGUCUGCAAGGCUGGCUUUGAAAACUCGUGUAUGUGACUCAAAAGUUGAAGACCAAUUUAUCAACUUUCCACUUUUCCUCUGAAUGUUCUAAUUUCGACCACCCUUGCUGUUUUAUUGAUGAGUGUGCUCACCUUUACCUGAGGGGGCUAAUUCGAAAUAAAAUCAAUACUUAACCGUUCUCGAAACCGUCUAACAAUAAUUUACUUUGCAGAACAUCAGAGAAAUCUUCCACUGCCUUCGCUGUAUUUCCGCGCCAUGUAAGGACGUUACGUUGUGGGUAUCAGGACUGCCAUAUGUAUAACAUUGUAGACUUGACUAUAAGUCAUUAACUGUGAAGUCCAUCAGAGUUAAGUAAAUUUGAAUUUGAAAGCAUGUUGUCUCUCCAAAUUUGAGAAUUUAAUUACAGUCGGAGACCAGAUGACAUCGGGAUGUUCAAAGUGCAAGGAAAUGCAGGUCUCUCUGCUUCGCUCUGGAGUAUUAUUCCAGAACUCUUCCUGGCUCGCACAUAUGCGCACACUCUUACUAUUAAUCUCAAGACUGGAAAUACACACAUUAAGAUGGUAUUUUAAAAAGGUGUACCAGUCGCAAUCUUUAUGCAUGGAAGACGCAAUUUCAUUAAAGAGACGCUAUCCUGAAGGAAAUUUAAUACUUAUUUAAUCUGGCGAUGGGUUAAAAUUGCAUUGUUAAGCUUAAUUUAUUGAGACAAAUUUGUUACACUGUGUGAACUUAAAAGACUAUUAGUUGUUAAAAGAUUACUAUAUUCAUACUAAAUAAAAUCUGAUUUUCACCGCAUGAAGUGCAUUCUGUUCUCAGUCUUUAUCUAUUAACUCUUUACUAACACACGUUUUAGUGAGAUACUGCUUCUUAAAGUAUAGUAUGUUCUGCUGUUUCACCAGCACAAUCCUGAAAACAAAUGAAGUACCGCAGAAUACUACACUCCACAUGUGAGAGUAAUAGAUGGCCGAAAUAUUAUUUUAAUCAUUAUAAUUCUCCAUUGCGGGAGUUUUCUGCCAAGUGGAAUACCGACAUGGAAAACAGUGCACAUUUAAAGGGUAACAAUUUAGCUCUUGAAGCGUCCUGCUAACAGUGCAUUUCAGUGAGAAAUUGUAAAGCUGCAAGAUCAUUUUGUGCGUUUGAAUUCUGAAAAUAAGAUUGCUGGACACAUUCGUAUACUGCAUCGAUAUAUAACCUUAUAAUAAAAUUUGGACAUGUUGCUCUAUAAGGUCUUUGUUUAGGACUAUUGUACCCUUCGUCGGACAUUUGAUUCAAAGAAGAUACUAAUUAAGACAGAUGAAAUAUUACUGCAAAGUACCUAGCUUGUUUGAACCAUUAACCUUGUAACAAACGUGCCUCAGAGCUGAAGAAAUCGAAAUACCACGUAUUCGGUACAGAAGUCUUUGGUAAUACAGAAUGUGUCCGUGGCGAUGAUUUUGGGGAUAAUAUUAAUGAUUCAGAAAUCAAUAUGCAAAAAAACUUGUAGCAACUUAGGGAUAUUCAUAGAAGGAAUUUUUUUUUCUUCCCGGAGUAAAUUUGUAACAAUGUAUUUCGGAAAGACGACAAAUAGUUCGGUCAAAAUGGAUAGGACUAGAAAACCACAGAUCUGGUAUUAUACGAAUUCUACAAAGACUAAGGGGAAAAGUCGUAGGCAAAAUAGUAAAUAUCGUGAGACCUUUAGCAACCAAGUCCAAGAACCUAACUUCGAGAACUCCAGAAUAAAUCUACCAUUGAAGCUAGAUAUCGUGGUUCAUGGAGAUGAAACUUGAUGCAUAAAGUUACAAAUUGCGAUUUGAAGAAGUGUUUAUAUGUUGGAUAGCAGUAUUGGGAUGGAACAUAAACGCUGAAGGAGAUAGUAUUCGAUUGCAUCUAAUAAAUAAUAACGCACUUACGCAAAACACUAUAUUUCUAUUCAGACAGUCGGGGGGGGGGAGGAACGUUUUUAGAAAACUUGCUGUAUUUCUGCCUCAACUGCAGCACGUUAGAUAGUAAUAUUUGUGCAUGCUAAACUUUUAUGUGUACAGUCGUCUUGAAACGUGAGCGCACACAGGAUGUGAAAAUAGUGCCAAUUAUUAAUCUUAUUCCAAAUGUUCCGAUCUUCAAUUUGUCGUUAAUAAAACAGAAAUAUCAGAUUCGGUCAUGUUCUCUUUGGUGCAAGUACGCCGAUUGUUUACCGAAUAUAAUGUUCUACUUGAAGUUAUUCAAAGGAACUGAUGCAGCGAGAUGGAAUUUUAUUAAUAGUGACAGAGAGUCCCAUCCAUAUGGUUGAUAUAUGAUUAAAUACAUUUGUUUCAUGCAAAAAUGCCCAAAAAAUGCUACAUCCAAAGUUUUAAUUGUACAACUUCUAAGUGGUUAGUAGCAACAAAAAAUGAAGCGGCUCUUGCACUACCAUGGGUUAACUAGACAAAAAUCCUUUGUUUUUUCUGUUUUUUCUCAACACAGUAACACGCAGCAAAGUUUAGUAUUUUGCCGGGGAUAGUGCAAAUGCGAUUGCGACUAUUAGCAGAAAUAAAUGGCUCGAAAUAUUCAAGUCUCAUGUUGUUAACCAUUUAUAAUUCGUAAAAACUACGAAGUAAAUAUUACUGUCAGCAUAGCUCAAAAACACAGACAAGUGCUAAACUGAAGGACAAUCGGGGUAUUAAAUGACUUGGAUCGGCAGCUAGGCCAGGCAGUAAAUGCACGUAAGAAAGCAUAAGUUUUAACUCACAUCUAACUUAUAAAUAAAACGAAUGCAGCUGAAAACAAUCUAAAUUGCCGGUCGAUACAUAUGAUUUUAAAGGUAAUAGUGUUCAUUCAAACGGUAUGUUUUAGUAUUAAGGAUAUGUCUUGAAGAGAGAAUUCCGACGCUACCAAACUACUUUAUAAUAACUCAUAAUGUAUUUCCAUGUAAAAAACUGCCGAAUACAAUUUAAUAGCUUUGUACACACGUUGUAUACCAAGUAUACCAAGGCUUUAUUUUGUCUAAUCAUUACAAUGUGUGCCCGCCUAUUCUAAAGGAUCACAAUGAGGCAUAUGUUGUAGUUGAAAUUGAUGCUGCGCAACACAUUAAGGGAAAGUUGACUUCUCCAGGCAGGGAAUUAGGAUUAUUUUUAAAACACAAACAUAGGUUAAGCAUGUCUACAAGGAGCACAAAAUUAAAAAUAGGAAACAAAAUUGCAAUAAAAUUGGCAAGACAGUUGACGAAGCACAACUUCAAAAUACUUAUUGUGUAACUCCAACAUUUCUCCAACUUCGCUUUCUACUGAGUUGCAUGUAAGUGUAAGAACGUUAUAAUUAAAAGCAAUUUUGCAAUAAAAUCUGAAGUAAUAUUGAACACUGGAAUUAUUGAGAUGGAGGGAAACGCAGACCGAGAUUGAUAGCUGAUAGCGGAAAAUGUAAUUGUUGGAUAGAUACACCGGAACUCCAACCCAAUAUAAGGGCAAUUACUUUUAAUAAUACCACUUUUCACUGAGUGUGAAAGUGAAAAGUAAAUCGAAUCGCGUCCAAAAUAAACGUAAACGCCCUUUUCCGUGCUCAACCAUUACUUCUUCAAACUGACAGGCAUGUUGGAUUUUGAUGUUACGUGGCAAGAUUGUCCUCCUCUCUUGUUGUGCAAUACGGAAACCAAAUGGUCACAGGCAUCCCAAUGUGAAAACAUUUUCUAGUGUUAGCUAAGUAUCUCAUCUUUCCCCAUCAACGCAUCGGUGCACUUGCAGUCCGUCAAAGAACUAAAUACAUAGAUUACUUCCAGAGAACACCGAAGUCCGUAGCUUAUCUCAUCGGAAGUUGCACGGGUCUUGAUCCCUGCUUUUCACUGCGCUUUAUAAUCUCUGGUGUUCAUUUAAUGAUUCUUUUUAUUUGUGAAAAUAUUUCAAUAUAUUUCAAUUAUCUUACUGAUGGGCGUUGUAAGCAUUGUUGCUGUUACCAAGAUACUACGGGUCAGAGGUGAAAAGUUGAACCACAGAAUACGGAAAGUUGAAUGGCGUAGAUUUCAGUUAUAUUUGUACAAUAACGCGUGGACUAGUUGGGAAUUCUACCAAAGAAUAAAAUAACUUUGGAUCUUAAUUGUCUCCAGCUGAAAUACAGGAAUGUCAAAGCUGUAGUAGCGACUGCUGUGUUUCGUCUACCUGCUGGCCACACAUUGAUUACAAAUAGCCUUAAUAAUGACCGUGAGGUUUGCAUACAUCCAUUGCUUUUGACAACAUUUCCGUGAUAGUGAUAAUGAAAAUGGCAACGGAAAGAUAACAAGGAAAUAGGGCAGAAUUAUAUAGCUGAAAAAUAAUCCAGCUAAGCGUGUGAAGCUGGUAUUGUUAAUCAUUACAGAUCGCUGAAGAGUAACUUGCACGGUGACCACAGAAAAGAAUGGCGUGAAACAUACCAUUUUAGGUUCGAGGUUCUCAUAAAAAUUCAGACCAGUGAUACCAGUGAAAGGCAACUUGCUACCUGUAAAUUGAUUCACGUUAAUUUAGAUCGACAUUAACAAGUUAAUUACUGGGCUGUGUGUUCUCUCGGGUCAUGUUCAUGUCAGGUGUUGUAGGGGCAACAUAUUAGGGGGUCAUGUUGCCUCUACAUCCUGAUGGGAAAAAAUGGUACCAAUGAAAAUAGAGUCUCUUCGCCCAUGCAACAUUUGCGUACCAUUUGGUUCACACUACCUCUGAAAUAUCUAGGUUUCUAGUAUUGAGAAGGUCAACGUAACAAUAUUGUAUAUGCGAUUCGGCCAUCAGAUUGUUUUAGUAAAACAAUAAAGUGGAACAAGUACCCAGAUAAAGCUCCUGAAUAUUUAUCUACAUUUAUCACAAAAUAACACUAGUUUAAAAUGCCUCCAUGUUUUAAAUGGUAAUUUCUGAAGGCCACACAUUAGUUAUAGUUUGACCUUGCCCCUCUUUUCCCCAUAAGCAGAUGCCCUAGUUUCACAAAUCGCUCACCUUUAGUUCCAGAAAGAACAGUUAACAAGGAAAUCAGAGCCAGAAUCAUGACUAAAUUAAGUGAGACUACAUUUUUAGUUAGCCUUGAAUAGUAUAAUUUAAGUUAAAAAUAUGUUUGCCGAGGAAGACAAAUAGUUAAACGUUUCACAUCAGAUGGCACAGCUGAAAGGCUGCCUUAUCUAGGACUGUCACAGACUUCUGUACCAUGUCUGCCUGUACUGGAUGGGUAGGCGAGUGUCUUAUUCUCUGUCACUGCCAUCUCCAUUUACUUAAUCUUCCAGAAUUAAAUUGCUACUGUGGUUUUGCCUUGUUGAAUAAUACACAUACAGCACUAGAAACAGACCUGAAUGAGCUCCAGAAAACAUUUCUCAGUUGGACUCUAUUGACAAUUUUCAAUUCAGACAAUCUUGAUAUUGUUUAAAUGGCUCUGCUGUUCCCACAAAUCUCUGAACUGCAUGCAGAUCUCUGCCUUAAUCAAAUAUUCUUACUCCUAAUCUUUAACUCUUUCAAAAUGGCUUCUAUCUAAAUCCAUUUUCUGGGUAGCAGGUGGGUGUACAAUCCCACCUGCUCUUUUAAGACUUCUUAACUGCUGGUAAAUAGGGGACAAGUACAAUUAGUGUGAGGGAGUGAGGCAAAAAAGAAGGUUAUGAUAGUAAAAAGAGACAAGUAGGAAAAGAAGUGCACAGUUUAUUCAUGAAGGCACUUAAGUUCGCAGAGAAGGAAUACUAUUACAGUAAUUGAUCUAUUUUAGCAGUAUGUUGGUUGCAGUGGCACUAAUUGCCCAAAUGCCCCAAGAAGGUGAUGUUUGUCUGUUUUAUUGAAUCCCUGCAAUUCUAUGGUGAAGGUGUUCCCACAAUACUGAUGUGUUCAGGGGACAUGCUCCUUGCUUUUCCACUGACCUGGAGACUGGGAUGGCGGAGAUGGACAGAAUGAUGAUCAGAAUGCUUGAGGUGCUCAAAGAAAUAUGGAAGACUUCCUCUGGAUGAUAUUGUUGUCUCUGGAUUGACAUCUGCAAACCUUCUGCAUCAGAUGCCCUUUUAAAGAUACAGGGAAGGUGUAUUCCUUUAAUUCGCACAUCGGCAAACCUGCUUCAUUCUGCUUUUCUAUUCAACGUGGCAGCAGCAAAUGUCCUUUGCACCACUAUUGAUAUAUCUGCUGCGUGUCACUUUUAGGAAAGUCAUGUUCAUGGAAACAUAUGAUACAAAAUUCCAUUGUGCACCAUGCACGUUAAGAGCAAGGACCAAAAAUCAAGGAUCAACUUUUCUUGACAAAUAUAUUUAAAUGUAUUAGUAAUUUGCAAUGGUGUGAUGGUGCAACAUGCAACAAAAACAGCACUAAACAAUUAUAAAUAUAAAGGAUUAUAUAGAAACAUGGAAAACCUACAGGCCCUACAAUACAGGCCCUUCGGCCUACAAAGUUGUGCCAAGCAUGUCCCUACCUUAGAAAUUACUAGGCUUACCCAUAGCCCUCUAUUUUUCUAAGCUCCAUGUACAUAUCCAAAAGUCUCUCAAAAGACCCUAUCGUAUCCACCUCCACCACUGUUGCCGGCAGCCCAUUUCACGCACUCACCACUCUCUGCAUAAAAAAACUUACCCCUGACAUCUCCUCUGUACUUAUUUCCAAGCACCUUAAACUGUCUCCUCUUGUGGCCACCAUUUCAGCCCUGGAAAAAGCCUCUGACUAUCCACACGAUCAAUGCCUCUCAUCAUCUUAUACACCUCUAUCAGGUCACCUCUCAUCCUCCGUUGCUCCAAGGAGAAAAGGUCAAGUUCAUUCAACAAAGGCAUGCUCCCCAAUCCAGGCAACAUCCUUGUAAAUCUCCUCUGCACCCUUUCUAUGGCUUCCACAUCCUUCCUGUAGAGAAGCGACUAGAACUGAGCACAGUACUCCAAGUUUUUUUUUAUCAUGGCCAGUCAGCUCCAAACAUCAAUAGCUCUUUGGUCCCACUUCCCCAUCACCCUCAGGUCCCUAACUUUCCAAAAAUACGUAAGCCUCCUCUUUAUGCUUUACCCUCCAUGGGGCAGAGAACUCUUAGUUUAAGGGCAAGCAUUAACUGGGGUUUUGAAUACCAGACUGACAGUAUUGCAUGCUCAUUCACAUGAAGCUUCUGUUCUCCUUAUAAUUCAGUAGUGGUAGUGUCAUCACUCGAGUCGAGUGUGAUGUUUCCCUGAACAGUUGUUUAUUGGUGCAUCUUCAGGUGUCUGUAGAGGCCCGUGCAGGAUCCACAUCAUCCAGGAUAUUAGCAUGGAUUCCCUUAAAGGAGAAUACAUGUAUCUGAUUCUUUUCCAUAUGGGGAGGCUGGUGCACGGGCAGCCACCACGCAGUACACAGAUCAGGGUCAGGAUUCAGUGAUCUGGAAUGCAAGAUGUUUGGGACCCUUCACUAUUGCAGCCUUCCUCCACCUUCCCUGCCAUUGUGAUGUGUCAUCAUCUUCCACCAGCUCCCUUGUUGAGGUCUUGGUUGGAUCGCUCUUCAUCUGGAACCUCCCCCUUGCCCUUACUGCCUUGGAUGCCCUACCAGAAGCUAAGUGACAUGCAGCUAAACUCCAGGCUGCAUUGCUCUCAGGAUCUCAAGAACUCGCUCAACAACGCAACAAGAUAGCCAUCCCUGGAGAUUUCAGAAGGUCUUUAAUGACACAAAUAUCUGUGCUCUCCCUGAUGCAGAAUCCAAUGCAACGUGCACCACAUCCAUGCCAUAUUUGGACACCAUUUUGAUGGCCACACAGAAUCCAUUGUAUCCAAAUGAAUAAUGCAGGCUUAACAGCAAUUCACUGAGUCACAUCAUUAUCAACUGAAAUGGAUUUUUCCACAGAGAUUUCAUCAGAAUUAACGAUGGCUCGAGAAGUGUCAAGACCAAUCGAUUUCCUGACAGAUAUAAAGAUAAGUUAAAGUACAGAUCUGGAAUAAAAUGUGCAUAAAAAUAUAUAAAUACCAGCAUGUAUUCACAAUGUAAACAGCAUUACAAAAACUGGUUUAAAGUGUUUACAGUUCAGUGUAGUGACUGAGAUAAUAGAUAUAGGGGGUGGGGGUUGGCUAACUAGAAUGGUUCAUCAGUUUAUCUGCAUGGGGAAAAAACAUUUAAAAUGGCAUGAUGUUUUUCUUUUAGUAGUCCUAUAGUGCUUUCUGGAAGGGAGCCUUUGGGAAAGGCAGUUUGCUGGAUGGGUAGUGUCUGCAAAGAUUUUUUUCCUGCCCAUUUCUUUGUCCUGAACACAAACAAAUCCUGCAGUGAUGGUAGACUGCAGCAGCGAACUUUCCUGUUGGCCUGACAGUUCACUGUAAUUUUGCUGUAUUGUGAAAAGAUGCAACACCAAACUAGACUGUAAUGGCUGAUGUGCAUGUGCUCUUUGUGAGUGCAGUGGAGAAUUGUACCAAUAUAUUCUGGGGAAGAUGGAUUUUUACCAACUGCUGCAAGCCUUUUUGUUAAUGAAGGAGAUACAGUUCUCUCACAUGAGGUCCUGUAAAUUAGUGAUGCCCAGGACCCUGAAUACUGAAAUGUUGCUAAGUGUGGAAUUACUGAUGAUGGGUGGGCAGGGAGGAGACACAUUAUGAAGUUCAGCUUUGUACCGUAGUUUGGAAUAUAAAAUAUGCAUCGUGCAAGUUAAUUUUCAAGAAGCUAUGUUUUGUGUUUUUUUACAAAAUUGCUGACAUAAUACCAAUAUGAUUCUCAGUGAAGCCGCUGAUUAGUUGGUGCAUCACUCUGUGGUACAAUAAAUGGAAUUGUUUAUCUGCACCAUAAAUUGUAUGUGGCAUUGGCAGGCAGAAUUAAUUGAGUUGGAAAGGUUCUGCAUCAGCAUUACAGAAAAUAAAUGUAACUUUAAUAAAUCUCCCAUUCACCUAUCUACACAUGUGGCAAAAUUGCUGAAAAUAUCAAAGAGACCAUUUUCACAAAAAUAAGAAUGGUCGUUUAUGAUAGAAUUUAGCUACCAUUAUCAAAAUGGUACUUGUGUCUUUGGGUUUCAAAGUCGAAAAAAAAUUUGAAAUCCAAACUGUUCGUCUCUCCCUCCCCCCACCCACAUAAUGAUGCUAACAUUCAUAAAUUUCAAGCUCCAACCCAGAGUGAUGGUAGCAUUAUUUGCAAAUAUUUGGCCUUUUCAAUACAUGGACUACUUUAAACUUGGCUAGAAUAGAUUGACAAAAAUUCUUGAAGAGCAGAAAUUAAACAUUGUUUCAUAUAGUGUGUGUUUAAAAUAAAUAGAUAAGGCACUUGUGGUGCUCUUGCAAUGCUGUCCAUUGCCUUUAUUGAAGAAAUGUUAUGGGAGUAGCUCAUAAUGCUUCAUUAAUGAACCAAAUGGAGUUGCCACUGCUGAUAAUCAGCUGCUCUGUUCCACCAUAUAGAAUCCAGUAAUGCUUCCCAGUGCUUGCAAAGGGCCUCAGACCUGAAAUAUUACCUUUCCAUUAAAGCAGCCUGAUCUGCUGAGUAUUUUCAUCAUUUCCAGUUUUUAUUUCAGAGUUCAAGCAUCUGCAGUUGUUUUAUUUACAUGUUUUUGCUAUUUUAGAUUGAUAAUGAGAUUAAUUAUUUCCCCAUGCUCAUGUUUUUUUUUAAUUCACAAUUCUCAUUAAACCUUCAGUAGGGUUAACCUUAACAACUAUCCUCUGCUUAACGAGAUGGAAAUUUUGGCUGGCUUGCUUGACAUUAGGAAGGAACUGACGGAUUAAUACUAGUCUAUGGAGGAAGUAUCCAGUGCUUUUAAAAUUGUACCUGUUCUGAAUAUUUUCUGAAAGCACCUAUUUAGAACAUAUAGAGAUAACAAUCACAAAUUUCCAAUUGUCUCUGAAGUGGAAAGAAGGAAGCCCUUGAAAAUAUGACCUCCCUUCUCUACCCACUUGUCAUCAGUAUGAAAGGACCCCAACAAAUAUGGCUUAAGCACCUGCAUUCCACAAGUGGUGGACCCGAUAAGUGUUAAGCCAGGGUCUUAUGACACAUCCAGAACCAUUUCCAACAACUUUUGAAGGACAAUGCUCAUUAGCAUUGGUGGACUGUGUGCACUGACAUGAUCAGCAUCAGUAUCAGGUUCAAUAUCACUGACAUAUGUCAUGAAAUUUAUUGUUUAGUAGCAGUAUAGAUCUGGGAAUAGAGCUGGGGAAAGGGUUUUCAGUGUGGAGGAGAGUGGGAAUGUGUCAGGAGCAACACCGCUGUUCGUAGCCUCACAGGAGUAUUUUUGGGAUCAUUGUUUUUGUUUUUCUUUGAAAGUAUUGGCAGUAGAAAAUAAGUACCGGUAGAUAAUAUUUUGUCAAAAUGGCCGUCAUAAUCCUUGCAUGCUACAUACAUAAUAAAAUUCUGAGUUAAAUGUUAUGAUGCUUUAAUGUAUGAUAUCCAUAGAGAUUCCUCUGCUGCUUCUGAGGUACUAGUGUCUACAUUUAUCCAUUGGAAGUUGAAGUGCAUUAGAAAUCACUCUUAUUCAUACAGCUCUGAAUGAGUGGUAGACUUGAAAGCUAAGGUUGAGCAUUUGUUGCAGAUUUAUGUUCUUGAUGCAUUUCAGGUUCAGUUGAAAUCAAGUUGGGUCACUCUGGGGUUGCCAGAAAAGGUGGCACCUGGGCUGCCAGUGACUGGUUCAAAAGAAGGAUGAAUCAUUCUAUUAGCAUUGAUUUUUUUUUUCUAAUGCUAUUCUUUUGAAACUUUGUAGUUGAGAGUUUUUUUUUACACUCAGUGGCCAUUUUAUUAGGUACCUCCUGUAGCUAAAAUAGUCACUGAGUCUAUGUUCAUGAUCUUACACUGCUGUAGCCCAUCCACUUCAAGGUUCAGCGUGUUGUGGGUUCAGAUGUUCUUUUGCACACCAUUGAUAUAACGUAUGGUUAUUUGAGUUACUGUCACCUUCUCAUCAGCUUGAACUCAUCUGGCAGUUCUCCUCUGACCACUCUCAUUAGCAAGGCAUUUUCAACCACAGAACUGCCACUCUCUGUAUGUUUUCUUCUUGUUUUUUUUUGCACCAUUCUCCACAAACUAUAGAAACUGUUGCGCAUGAAAACCGCAGGAGAUCAGCAGUUUCUGAGAUACUUAAACCAGCCGUACAGCACCAACAAUCAUUCCACGGUCAAAAUCACUUGGAUCACGUUUCUUCCCCAUUCUGAAGAUUGGUCUGAACAAUAACUGAACAUCUUGACCAUGUCUGCAUACUUUUAUGCAUUAAGUUACUACCAGUUGAUCAGCUAAUUAGAUAGUAGCAUUAAUGAGCUGGUGUACCGAUGUACCUAAUAAAGUUGCCAUUGAGAAUAUAUUACAAUAGAUAUGCCUGACAAUGAAAGAUGAAUUCAAAUGUUAUAUUCCCUACUGCAAAUAGGGAAAAAUCGCUUUGUUUUGAUAUCCCCGAACAUCUAUUUAGACAGCAGUUAACUUGACCAAACAUGCUUUUUACAUGGUUGGAAAAUUCUGAACAGCAAUUGAAAGGGAGACACUUCUUUGUUUCAUUGUUUUGCACAUAGGUUUUAAGGGAUUAAGUGCAAACUUUCUAUUAUCUAAGCAGAAAAAUGAAAAUAUGCCUCUGAAAUACUCAUGAAUAAUUAACUUUAACUUUGCUUGGUUACCCUCUUUCAACGUUCCCUCUACACAGUUGCGCAGACCAGCCUUUGCUCUGAGCACGAAAUUUCUACAUGGCUGAAAACUGCACAACACUUUAAUAAAAUAUCAUAUAAAGGGAAAUCCCAGCAGCACGGCAACAAAGGUUAUGUGCUUGUGAGCAUUUCAGCUACUGUGUGGCCGCCCACCCGUGCAGCUUAGAUGAAAGAGUGUGCUCUUUCCUGAAUUUCAUUGAACUUUUUGGGUAUAUUUUUCUCCUUUUCUAUGUGAUGAGAUAAAGAAAGGUCAUUUGAGCAGGAUGGCUUGCUUGUUAAUAGAAUUUUCUAAAAUCACCAUCCAGUAAAACCAAUGGUGGGAAAAUCCAUUGGAUUCCAUAAGCAGAAUCUCCUCACAAACUAUUUUUUUAUGCUGCCAUUAGUGAAAAGUAAAAUCCCUCACCUUUUCUGCUCAUACCUUCCAUAAUCCAACUAACUGAGAAAUUUUCAUUGCUUUCAAUUCAUUCCAUGUUCAUCCAUCAGGAAGUACAUCUCCUAUGCGGUGAUGCACUCUAUAUUUUAUUUUAUUUGCACUAGUUGUUGCCAAGAACGGACAAUAUUCAUCAGAAUAGUGAAUGACAGAUUUGAUUUGAAACCAUGCCCAUAGGGCUAAAAGUAAUCAUCUCCAAAGCUCUGUAUACUUGGCCAGCUGCAUUUCUGUAAUUAAGGCUGGAGUAAAGUAGAAGUCCCUGAUGUACUGUUAAUGCAAACAUUGUGGACAUUGGGUGUCAUAAUUUUUGGCUUGUCAGGAGAUAUUUUUGUUCUGAAUGUAUAGCAAAGAAGAAAUGCAUUUUCUAAAAAAAUUCAAUGAUGGUUGAUUCACAUUAUAAUAACUUUAUAACAUACCUUAUUAAGUGUUGUAUUGGUAUCCUAUAUAUUCACAAGAGGUUAUUCCUGUUAUAAAUAAAGUUAAAAUUAAAUUGA